rnacentral:rRNA from 1 species
UACGUAGGGGGCAAGAGUUGUCCGGAAUGACUGGGCGUAAAGCGCGCGCAGGCGGUCAAUCACGUCUGGGGUGAAAGUUCAGGGCUCAGCCCUGAGAUGGCCUUGGAAACGGGUGGACUUGAGGGUCGGAGAGGUCAGGGGAAGUCCACGUGUAGCGGUGAAAUGCGUAGAGAUGUGGAGGAAUACCAGUGGCGAAGGCGCCUGGCUGGCCCAAACCUGUCGCUGAGGCGCGAAGGCGUGGGGAGCAAACAGG